GAUGAACGCUGGCGGCGUGCCUAAUACAUGCAAGUCGAGCGAACGGACGAGAAGCUUGCUUUUCUGAUGUUAGCGGCGGACGGGUGAGUAACACGUGGAUAACCUACCUAUAAGACUGGGAUAACUUCGGGAAACCGGAGCUAAUACCGGAUAAUAUUUUGAACAGCAUGGUUCAAAAGUGAAAGACGGUCUUGCUAUCACUUAUAGAUGGAUCCGCGCUGCAUUGGCUAGUUGGUAAGGUAACGGCUUACCAAGGCAACGAUGCAUAGCCGACCUGAGAGGGUGAUCGGCCACACUGGAACUGAGACACGGUCCAGACUCCUACGGGAGGCAGCAGUAGGGAAUCGUCCGCAAUGGGCGAAAGCCUGACGGAGCAACGCCGCGUGAGUGAUGAAGGUCUUCGGAUCGUAAAACUCUGUUAUUAGGGAAGAACAUAUGUGUAAGUAACUAUGCACAUCUUGACGGUACCUAAUCAGAAAGCCACGGCUAACUACGUG
rnacentral:rRNA from 1 species